rnacentral:rRNA from 1 species
UACGUAGGUGGCAAGCGUUAUCCGGAAUUAUUGGGCGUAAAGCGCGCGCAGGCGGUUUUUUAAGUCUGAUGUGAAAGCCCACGGCUCAACCGUGGAGGGUCAUUGGAAACUGGGGAACUUGAGUGCAGAAGAGAAAAGCGGAAUUCCACGUGUAGCGGUGAAAUGCGUAGAGAUGUGGAGGAACACCAGUGGCGAAGGCGGCUUUUUGGUCUGUAACUGACGCUGAGGCGCGAGAGCGUGGGGAGCAAACAGG